AACGAUGAAGCUUCUAGCUUGCUAGAAGUGGAUUAGUGGCGCACGGGUGAGUAAUGCAUAGGUUAUGUGCCCCAUAGUCUGGGAUAGCCACUAGAAAUGGUGAUUAAUACUGGAUACUCCCUACGGGGGAAAGUUUUUCGCUAUGGGAUCAGCCUAUGUCCUAUCAGCUUGCUGGUGAGGUAAUGGCUCACCAAGGCUAUGACGGGUAUCCGGCCUGAGAGGGUGAUCGGACACACUGGAACUGAGACACGGUCCAGACUCCUACGGGAGGCAGCAGUAGGGAAUAUUGCUCAAUGGGCGAAAGCCUGAAGCAGCAACGCCGCGUGGAGGAUGAAGGUCUUAGGAUUGUAAACUCCUUUUGUUAGAGAAGAUUAUGACGGUAUCUAACGAAUAAGCAC
rnacentral:rRNA from 1 species